rnacentral:rRNA from 1 species
UACGUAGGGGGCAAGCGUUGUCCGGAAUCAUUGGGCGUAAAGCGCGUGUAGGCGGCCCGGUAAGUCCGCUGUGAAAGCCCGGGGCUUAACCCCGGGUCUGCAGUGGAUACGGGCAGGCUAGAGGUAGGUAGGGGAGAAUGGAAUUCCCGGUGUAGCGGUGAAAUGCGCAGAUAUCGGGAGGAACACCGGUGGCGAAGGCGGUUCUCUGGGCCUUACCUGACGCUGAGGAGCGAAAGCGUGGGGAGCGAACAGG